rnacentral:rRNA from 1 species
UGGGGAAUAUUGGACAAUGGGCGCAAGCCUGAUCCAGCAAUGCCGCGUGAGUGAUGAAGGCCUUAGGGUUGUAAAGCUCUUUUACCCGGGAAGAUAAUGACUGUACCGGGAGAAUAAGCCCCGGCUAACUCCGUGCCAGCAGCCGCGGUAAUACGGAGGGGGCUAGCGUUGUUCGGAAUUACUGGGCGUAAAGCGCACGUAGGCGGCUUUGUAAGUUAGAGGUGAAAGCCCGGGGCUCAACUCCGGAAUUGCCUUUAAGACUGCAUCGCUAGAAUUGUGGAGAGGUAAGUGGAAUUCCGAGUGUAGAGGUGAAAUUCGUAGAUAUUCGGAAGAACACCAGUGGCGAAGGCGGCUUUCUGGACUGAAACUGACGCUGAGGCUCGAAAGCGUGGGGAGCAAACAGGAUUAGAUACCC